AGAGUUUGAUCCUGGCUCAGAACGAACGCUGGCGGCGUGGAUUAGGCAUGCAAGUCGAACGAUCUGUUGUAAUACAGAUAGUGGCAAAAGGGUGAGUAAUACGUGGGUAAUCUGCCCUAAAGUUGAGAAUAACCAGCCGAAAGGCUGGCUAAUACUGGAUGAGACCACACUAUCUUCGGAUAGAGAGGUUAAAGCUGGGGACCCCAACAGGGCCUGGCGCUUUAGGAUGAGCUCGCGCCCUAUCAGCUUGUUGGUGAGGUAAUGGCUCACCAAGGCAUUUGACGGGUAGCUGGUCUGAGAGGAUGGUCAGCCACACUGGGACUGAGACACUGCCCAGACUCCUACGGGAGGCUGCAGUCGAGAAUCUUUUGCAAUGCGCGAAAGCGUGACAAUGCGACGCCGCGUGAGCGAUGAAGGUCUUCGGAUUGUAAAGCUCUGUCAACCUGGAUGAAAGUCUUAUAUUUAAUAAACUUAAGACCUGACGGUACAGGUAGAGGAAGCCACGGCUAACUCCGUGCCAGCAGCCGCGGUAAUACGGAGGUGGCAAGCGUUGUUCGGAUUUAUUGGGUGUAAAGGGUAUGUAGGUGUCCUAACAAGUCUUUUUUGAAAUACAUCGGCUCAACCGAUGUCCUGGAAAGGAAACUGUUAGGAUUGAGUAUUGGAGAGGGAAGCGGAAUUCCUGGUGUAAGGGUGAAAUCUGUAGAUAUCAGGAGGAACACCAACGGCGAAAGCAGCUUUCUGGCCAAAUACUGACACUGAAAUACGAAAGCUAGGGGAGCAAACAGGAUUAGAUACCCUGGUAGUCCUAGCCGUAAACGAUGGGCACUAGGUGCAUGGUCUUCAUUGAUUGUGUGCCGCAGUUAACACAUUAAGUGCCCCACCUGGGGAGUACGACCGCAAGGUUGAAACUCAAAGGAAUUGACGGGGACCCGCACAAGCGGUGGAGCAUGUGGUUUAAUACGACGAUACGCGUGGAACCUUACCUGGGCUUGACAUGUAAGUAGUACUAAACCGAAAGGUGGAGGACCGGUUCAGUCCGGAGCUUACACAGGUGUUGCAUGGCUGUCGUCAGCUCGUGUCGUGAGAUGUUGGGUUAAGUCCCGCAACGAGCGCAACCAUUGUCUUUAGUUGCUAAUCUUUUAGAUGCACUCUAAAGAGACUGCCAGUGUUUAACUGGAGGAAGGUGGUGACGACGUCAAGUCGGUACGGCCCUUACGCCCAGGGCUACACACGUGCUACAAUGGCUGGUACAAUGAGACGCAAUACCGCGAGGUGGAGCAAAUCUCAAAAAAACCAGUCUCAGUUCGGAUAGUAGGCUGCAAUUCGCCUACUUGAAGCUGGAAUCGCUAGUAAACGCAAAUCAGCCACGUUGCGUUGAAUACGUUCCCGGGUCUUGUACACACCGCCCGUCAAGUCACCUGAGUCGAGUGCACCCGAAGAGGCUGCUCCAACCCGUAAGGGAGGAAGGUUUCGAAGGUGUGCUUGGUGAGGAGGACUAAGUCGGAACAAGGUA
rnacentral:rRNA from 1 species